AUGCAAAGUGAUUUUCUCAGUGUGAUCUUGGGACUACCCUGAAGAAGACAACCUAUCAUACUCAAAACCUGAGAAUAAAUAAAUAUAUGCACAUAGACCUCAUCUGGCUUGUACGCUCAGGAGAAAGAACAACCACAGCAAUCUGCAGUGUUUUAUUCUUCAAUAGAGUUUCCCAACUGCUUCUCAUCUAUACAUCCAAAUAAAGCAUAACUUUCAAAG